AUAUAUAUAUAUAUAUAUAUAGGCAUAGGAGUCGUUGUGUGGUAGGUAGUUUGCUUACCAACCACAUGGUUCCGGGUUCAGUCCCACUGCGUGGCACUUUGGUCAAGUGACUUGUACUAUACUCUCGGGCCGACCAAAGCCUUGUGAGUGUAUUUGGUAGACGGAGACU